rnacentral:rRNA from 1 species
UAAGUUAGAAAGGGCGCACGGUGGAUGCCUUGACACUAGGAGUCGAUGAAGGACGGGACUAACGCCGAUAUGCUUCGGGGAGCUGUAAGUAAGCUUUGAUCCGAAGAUUUCCGAAUGGGGAAACCCACCAUACGUAAUGGUAUGGUAUCCUUAUCUGAAUACAUAGGGUAAGGAAGACAGACCCAGGGAACUGAAACAUCUAAGUACCUGGAGGAAGAGAAAGCAAAUGCGAUUUCCUGAGUAGCGGCGAGCGAAACGGAACAUAGCCCAAACCAAGAGGCUUGCCUCUUGGGGUUGUAGGACAUUCUAUACGGAGUUACAAAGGAACGAGGUAGACGAAGCGACCUGGAAAGGUCCGUCGUAGAGGGUAACAACCCCGUAGUCGAAACUUCGUUCUCUCUUGAAUGUAUCCUGAGUACGGCGGAACACGUGAAAUUCCGUCGGAAUCUGGGAGGACCAUCUCCCAAGGCUAAAUACUCCCUAGUGAUCGAUAGUGAACCAGUACCGUGAGGGAAAGGUGAAAAGCACCCCGGAAGGGGAGUGAAAGAGAUCCUGAAACCGUGUGCCUACAAAUAGUCAGAGCCCGUUAACGGGUGAUGGCGUGCCUUUUGUAGAAUGAACCGGCGAGUUACGAUCCCGUGCAAGGUUAAGCUGAAGAGGCGGAGCCGCAGCGAAAGCGAGUCUGAAUAGGGCGUUUAGUACGUGGUCGUAGACCCGAAACCAGGUGAUCUACCCAUGUCCAGGGUGAAGUUCAGGUAACACUGAAUGGAGGCCCGAACCCACGCACGUUGAAAAGUGCGGGGAUGAGGUGUGGGUAGCGGAGAAAUUCCAAUCGAACCUGGAGAUAGCUGGUUCUCCCCGAAAUAGCUUUAGGGCUAGCCUUAAGUGUAAGAGUCUUGGAGGUAGAGCACUGAUUGGACUAGGGGUCCUCAUCGGAUUACCGAAUUCAGUCAAACUCCGAAUGCCAAUGACUUAUCCUUAGGAGUCAGACUGCGAGUGAUAAGAUCCGUAGUCAAAAGGGAAACAGCCCAGACCGCCAGCUAAGGUCCCAAAGUGUGUAUUAAGUGGAAAAGGAUGUGGAGUUGCUUAGACAACUAGGAUGUUGGCUUAGAAGCAGCCACCAUUUAAAGAGUGCGUAAUAGCUCACUAGUCGAGUGACUCUGCGCCGAAAAUGUACCGGGGCUAAAUACACCACCGAAGCUGCGGAUUGAUACCAAUGGUAUCAGUGGUAGGGGAGCGUUCUAAGGACAGUGAAGUCAGACCGGAAGGACUGGUGGAGUGCUUAGAAGUGAGAAUGCCGGUAUGAGUAGCGAAAGACGGGUGAGAAUCCCGUCCACCGAAUGCCUAAGGUUUCCUGAGGAAGGCUCGUCCGCUCAGGGUUAGUCAGGACCUAAGCCGAGGCCGACAGGCGUAGGCGAUGGACAACAGGUUGAUAUUCCUGUACCACCUCUUUAUCGUUUGAGCAAUGGAGGGACGCAGAAGGAUAGAAGAAGCGUGCGAUUGGUUGCGCACGUCCAAGCAGUUAGGCUGAUAAGUAGGCAAAUCCGCUUAUCGUAAAGGCUGAGCUGUGAUGGGGAAGCUCCUUAUGGAGCGAAGUCUUUGAUUCCCCGCUGCCAAGAAAAGCUUCUAGCGAGAUAAAAGGUGCCUGUACCGCAAACCGACACAGGUAGGCGAGGAGAGAAUCCUAAGGUGUGCGAGAGAACUCUGGUUAAGGAACUCGGCAAAAUGACCCCGUAACUUCGGGAGAAGGGGUGCUUUCUUAACGGAAAGCCGCAGUGAAUAGGCCCAAGCGACUGUUUAGCAAAAAACACAGCUCUCUGCGAAGCCGUAAGGCGAAGUAUAGGGGGUGACACCUGCCCGGUGCUGGAAGGUUAAGGAGAGGGGUUAGCGUAAGCGAAGCUCUGAACUGAAGCCCCAGUAAACGGCGGCCGUAACUAUAACGGUCCUAAGGUAGCGAAAUUCCUUGUCGGGUAAGUUCCGACCCGCACGAAAGGUGUAACGAUUUGGGCACUGUCUCAACCAGAGACUCGGUGAAAUUAUAGUACCUGUGAAGAUGCAGGUUACCCGCGACAGGACGGAAGGACCCCGUGGAGCUUUACUGUAGCCUGAUAUUGAAUUUUGGUACAGUUUGUACAGGAUAGGCGGGAGCCUUUGAAACCGGAGCGCUAGCUUCGGUGGAGGCGCUGGUGGGAUACCGCCCUGACUGUAUUGAAAUUCUAACCUACGGGUCUUAUCGACUCGGGAGACAGUGUCAGGUGGGCAGUUUGACUGGGGCGGUCGCCUCCUAAAGUGUAACGGAGGCGCCCAAAGGUUCCCUCAGAAUGGUUGGAAAUCAUUCGUAGAGUGCAAAGGCAUAAGGGAGCUUGACUGCGAGACCUACAAGUCGAGCAGGGACGAAAGUCGGGCUUAGUGAUCCGGUGGUUCCGCAUGGAAGGGCCAUCGCUCAACGGAUAAAAGCUACCCCGGGGAUAACAGGCUUAUCUCCCCAAGAGUCCACAUCGACGGGGAGGUUUGGCACCUCGAUGUCGGCUCAUCGCAUCCUGGGGCUGUAGUCGGUCCCAAGGGUUGGGCUGUUCGCCCAUUAAAGCGGUACGCGAGCUGGGUUCAGAACGUCGUGAGACAGUUCGGUCCCUAUCCGUCGUGGGCGUAGGAAAUUUGAGAGGAGCUGUCCUUAGUACGAGAGGACCGGGAUGGACGCACCGCUGGUGUACCAGUUGUUCUGCCAAGGGCAUAGCUGGGUAGCUAUGUGCGGAAGGGAUAAGUGCUGAAAGCAUCUAAGCAUGAAGCCCCCCUCAAGAUGAGAUUUCCCAUAGCGUAAGCUAGUAAGAUCCCUGAAAGAUGAUCAGGUUGAUAGGUUCGAGGUGGAAGCAUGGUGACAUGUGGAGCUGACGAAUACUAAUAGAUCGAGGACUUAACCA